UUUUUUUCCUUGUUAUUAUAUCUUAGCCAAAUUACAUCCCUAUCAAAGAAAGUAGAGACAUUCCACUUGGUCCAUAACUUGAGUUUUGCUCAAAUUACAUAUAAAUUUCAAAAUUUUCUAUUUAUCAAAUUUAUCAUUUUUUCAAACUUUAAUCAUACUAUAUAACUAAAAUAUUAUUCACUUGAUCUAGUUCUACUAAGGUAAUAAAAUUUUCAAAUAAAACCUAAUUAACAAAUUAUUGAAUUUAUUCAAAUAAAGUUGAGCACAAA
rnacentral:lncRNA from 1 species